UACGGAAGGCAGCAGUGGGGAAUAUUGCACAAUGGGCGCAAGCCUGAUGCAGCCAUGCCGCGUGUAUGAAGAAGGCCUUCGGGUUGUAAAGUACUUUCAGUCGUGAGGAAGGUGUUAAGGUUAAUAACCUUAGCAAUUGACGUUAGCGACAGAAGAAGCACCGGCUAACUCCGUGCCAGCAGCCGCGGUAAUACGGAGGGUGCGAGCGUUAAUCGGAAUUACUGGGCGUAAAGGGCACGCAGGCGGUUAAUUAAGUUGGAUGUGAAUCCCCGGGCUUAACCUGGGAAUGGCAUUCAAGCUGGUUAGCUAGAGUCUUGUAGAGGGGGUAGAAUUCCAUGUGUAGCGGUGAAAUGCGUAGAGAUGUGGAGGAAUACCGGUGGGCGAAGGCGGCCCCUGGGACAAAGACUGACGCUCAUGUGCGAAAGCGUGGGGAGCAAACAGGGAUUAGAUACC
rnacentral:rRNA from 1 species